CCCUUAGAUGUUCUGGGCCGCACGCGUGCUACACUGAGUAAUUCAAUGGGUAAGGGAACGCUAGAGCAUUACCUAAUCUUGAAAUUUGCUCGUGAUGGGGAUCGACGGUUGCAAUUUUCCGUCGUGAACGAGGAAUACCUUGUAGGCGCAUGUCAUCAUCAUGCGCCGAAUACGUCCCUGCCCUUUGUACACACCGCCCGUCGCUCCUACUGAUUGGGUGAUCCGGUGAGCUGUUCGGCCAUAGCAAUGUUUCUUGAGCAGGGCAAUGAAUGUUUCGCAAACCUUGCCACUUAGAGGAAGGAGAAGUCGUAACA
rnacentral:rRNA from 1 species